rnacentral:rRNA from 1 species
GGUUAAGCGACUAAGCGUACACGGUGGAUGCCCUGGCAGUCAGAGGCGAUGAAGGACGUGCUAAUCUGCGAUAAGCGUCGGUAAGGUGAUAUGAACCGUUAUAACCGGCGAUUUCCGAAUGGGGAAACCCAGUGUGUUUCGACACACUAUCAUUAACUGAAUCCAUAGGUUAAUGAGGCGAACCGGGGGAACUGAAACAUCUAAGUACCCCGAGGAAAAGAAAUCAACCGAGAUUCCCCCAGUAGCGGCGAGCGAACGGGGAGCAGCCCAGAGCCUGAAUCAGUGUGUGUGUUAGUGGAAGCGUCUGGAAAGGCGCGCGAUACAGGGUGACAGCCCCGUACACAAAAAUGCACAUGCUGUGAGCUCGAUGAGUAGGGCGGGACACGUGGUAUCCUGUCUGAAUAUGGGGGGACCAUCCUCCAAGGCUAAAUACUCCUGACUGACCGAUAGUGAACCAGUACCGUGAGGGAAAGGCGAAAAGAACCCCGGCGAGGGGAGUGAAAAAGAACCUGAAACCGUGUACGUACAAGCAGUGGGAGCACGCUUAGGCGUGUGACUGCGUACCUUUUGUAUAAUGGGUCAGCGACUUAUAUUCUGUAGCAAGGUUAACCGAAUAGGGGAGCCGAAGGGAAACCGAGUCUUAACUGGGCGUUAAGUUGCAGGGUAUAGACCCGAAACCCGGUGAUCUAGCCAUGGGCAGGUUGAAGGUUGGGUAACACUAACUGGAGGACCGAACCGACUAAUGUUGAAAAAUUAGCGGAUGACUUGUGGCUGGGGGUGAAAGGCCAAUCAAACCGGGAGAUAGCUGGUUCUCCCCGAAAGCUAUUUAGGUAGCGCCUCGUGAAUUCAUCUCCGGGGGUAGAGCACUGUUUCGGCAAGGGGGUCAUCCCGACUUACCAACCCGAUGCAAACUGCGAAUACCGGAGAAUGUUAUCACGGGAGACACACGGCGGGUGCUAACGUCCGUCGUGAAGAGGGAAACAACCCAGACCGCCAGCUAAGGUCCCAAAGUCAUGGUUAAGUGGGAAACGAUGUGGGAAGGCCCAGACAGCCAGGAUGUUGGCUUAGAAGCAGCCAUCAUUUAAAGAAAGCGUAAUAGCUCACUGGUCGAGUCGGCCUGCGCGGAAGAUGUAACGGGGCUAAACCAUGCACCGAAGCUGCGGCAGCGACACUAUGUGUUGUUGGGUAGGGGAGCGUUCUGUAAGCCUGUGAAGGUGUGCUGUGAGGCAUGCUGGAGGUAUCAGAAGUGCGAAUGCUGACAUAAGUAACGAUAAAGCGGGUGAAAAGCCCGCUCGCCGGAAGACCAAGGGUUCCUGUCCAACGUUAAUCGGGGCAGGGUGAGUCGACCCCUAAGGCGAGGCCGAAAGGCGUAGUCGAUGGGAAACAGGUUAAUAUUCCUGUACUUGGUGUUACUGCGAAGGGGGGACGGAGAAGGCUAUGUUGGCCGGGCGACGGUUGUCCCGGUUUAAGCGUGUAGGCUGGUUUUCCAGGCAAAUCCGGAAAAUCAAGGCUGAGGCGUGAUGACGAGGCACUACGGUGCUGAAGCAACAAAUGCCCUGCUUCCAGGAAAAGCCUCUAAGCAUCAGGUAACAUCAAAUCGUACCCCAAACCGACACAGGUGGUCAGGUAGAGAAUACCAAGGCGCUUGAGAGAACUCGGGUGAAGGAACUAGGCAAAAUGGUGCCGUAACUUCGGGAGAAGGCACGCUGAUAUGUAGGUGAAGUCCCUCGCGGAUGGAGCUGAAAUCAGUCGAAGAUACCAGCUGGCUGCAACUGUUUAUUAAAAACACAGCACUGUGCAAACACGAAAGUGGACGUAUACGGUGUGACGCCUGCCCGGUGCCGGAAGGUUAAUUGAUGGGGUUAGCCGCAAGGCGAAGCUCUUGAUCGAAGCCCCGGUAAACAGCGGCCGUAACUAUAACGGUCCUAAGGUAGCGAAAUUCCUUGUCGGGUAAGUUCCGACCUGCACGAAUGGCGUAAUGAUGGCCAGGCUGUCUCCACCCGAGACUCAGUGAAAUUGAACUCGCUGUGAAGAUGCAGUGUACCCGCGGCAAGACGGAAAGACCCCGUGAACCUUUACUAUAGCUUGACACUGAACAUUGAGCCUUGAUGUGUAGGAUAGGUGGGAGGCUUUGAAGUGUGGACGCCAGUCUGCAUGGAGCCGACCUUGAAAUACCACCCUUUAAUGUUUGAUGUUCUAACGUUGACCCGUAAUCCGGGUUGCGGACAGUGUCUGGUGGGUAGUUUGACUGGGGCGGUCUCCUCCUAAAGAGUAACGGAGGAGCACGAAGGUUGGCUAAUCCUGGUCGGACAUCAGGAGGUUAGUGCAAUGGCAUAAGCCAGCUUGACUGCGAGCGUGACGGCGCGAGCAGGUGCGAAAGCAGGUCAUAGUGAUCCGGUGGUUCUGAAUGGAAGGGCCAUCGCUCAACGGAUAAAAGGUACUCCGGGGAUAACAGGCUGAUACCGCCCAAGAGUUCAUAUCGACGGCGGUGUUUGGCACCUCGAUGUCGGCUCAUCACAUCCUGGGGCUGAAGUAGGUCCCAAGGGUAUGGCUGUUCGCCAUUUAAAGUGGUACGCGAGCUGGGUUUAGAACGUCGUGAGACAGUUCGGUCCCUAUCUGCCGUGGGCGCUGGAGAACUGAGGGGGGCUGCUCCUAGUACGAGAGGACCGGAGUGGACGCAUCACUGGUGUUCGGGUUGUCAUGCCAAUGGCACUGCCCGGUAGCUAAAUGCGGAAGAGAUAAGUGCUGAAAGCAUCUAAGCACGAAACUUGCCCCGAGAUGAGUUCUCCCUGACUCCUUGAGAGUCCUGAAGGAACGUUGAAGACGACGACGUUGAUAGGCCGGGUGUGUAAGCGCAGCGAUGCGUUGAGCUAACCGGUACUAAUGAACCGUGAGGCUUAACCUU